rnacentral:misc_RNA from 1 species
GAUGAAGAACGCAGCGAAAUGCGAUAAGUAAUGUGAAUUGCAGAAUUCAGUGAAUCAUCGAAUCUUUGAACGCACAUUGCGCCCGCCAGCACUCUGGCGGGCAUGCCUGUCCGAGCGUCAUUUCAACCCUCAGGGCCCCUUGGGGGGACCUGGCGUUGGGGAUCGGCCCGCCCCCGUGCGGCGCCGUCCCCGAAAUAUAGUGGCGGUCUCGCUGCAGCCUCCCCUGCGUAGUAGCACACCUCGCACUGGAGAGCGGCGCGGCCACGCCGUGAAACCCCCAACUUCUGAAUGUUGACCUCGGAUCAGGUAGGAAUACCCGCUGAACUUAAGCAUAUCAAUAAGCGGAGGA